AUUGAACGCUGGCGGCGGGCCUAACACAUGCAAGUCGAACGAGUGGCGGACGGGUGAGUAAUGUCUGGGAAACUGCCUGAUGGAGGGGGAUAACUACUGGAAACGGUAGCUAAUACCGCAUACCAUCGGAUGUGCCCAGAUGGGAUUAGCUAGUAGGUGGGGUAAAGGCUCACCUAGGCGACGAUCCCUAGCUGGCCUGAGAGGAUGACCAGCCACACUGGAACUGAGACACGGUCCAGACUCCUACGGGAGGCAGCAGUGGGGAAUCUUCCACAAUGGGCGCAAGCCUGACGCAGCAAUGCCGCGUGUAUGAAGAAGGCCUUCGGGUUGUAAAUUACUGUCAGCGGGGAGGCGUUACCUACAGAAGAAGCACCGGCUAACUACGUGCCAGCAGCCGCGGUAAUAC
rnacentral:rRNA from 1 species